rnacentral:rRNA from 1 species
UACGUAGGGUGCGAGCGUUGCCCGGAUUUAUUGGGCGUAAAGGGCGCGCAGGCGGCUACGCACGUCCGUUGUGAAAUCGCUCGGCUCAACUGGGCGGGGUCAGCGGAUACGGCGUAGCUGGAGCAAGCUAGGGGGCAAUGGAAUUCCCGGUGUAGUGGUGGAAUGCGUAGAUAUCGGGGGGAACACCAGUGGCGAAGGCGGUUGCCUGGAGCUUUGCUGACGCUGAGGCGCGAAAGCGUGGGGAGCGAUCCGG